GACGUAGGGCGCGAGCGUUGUCCGGAUUUAUUGGGCGUAAAGGGUGCGUAGGCGGUCGGGUAAGUCUGGCGUGAAAUCUCCAAGCCUAACUUGGAAACUGCGUUGGAUACUAUCCGGCUCGAGGAAUGGAGGGGAGACUGGAAUACUUGGUGUAGCAGUGAAAUGCGUAGAUAUCAAGUGGAACACCAGUGGCGAAGGCGAGUCUCUGGACAUUUCCUGACGCUGAGGCACGAAAGCCAGGGGAGCAAACGGG
rnacentral:rRNA from 1 species